UGUGAGAACCAGUUACAGCCUUUAUUCCUAGUUUUGAUUCACCUGCCUAUUUGCCUACCUGUGUAUGACCAUUUCCUGCCUUCUGUGAAGGCGAAAUAAACAUCUGCCACGCUCUGCACGUGAAUCUACACCUUUUUCUCCGCAGUUUUUUGGGGAUGCAUAAAUCACGAUGUGAGUCGUGUCCAAAUGGGGAAUUACCAGUCCCCUGGGGCCCUUUGAUUGUGUCUGCUGGAUGGUAUGAGAUCUCCCUGACCUGUAACUCUAAGGUUAAGGAAAAGGUGAUGAUCACAGAUGGUGGCUAGAUGCAUGGAAGUGAUAAUUCGGCUGAGGACAGUGUGAGCCUCUUCCCCUCUAACCGGCUGAAGUAAUGGUGCCAAUGGCAUUCAAUAUGGCCCUGUCCUUCACCACUUCUACCGUGAGACCUGAGUCAGCCAGCAACCAGUACACAGCAUCCAGUCGAAGCCAUCAACUGCCUUUUCUCUCAGAAGUGACAAAGCAAAAACAUUUUUUUUGAAUAUUUUAAACAGAGUUAUCACAUUUUCAAAAGUAUUCAGACCCUUUACUCCAGUACCUUGUUGAAGCACCUUUGGCAGCAAUUACA